rnacentral:rRNA from 2 species
AGGGGCGAACAUACCAGCACUGAUAAACCGGAUCCCAUCACAACUCCACAAUUAAGCGUCUUUGGGCGAGAGUAGUACUAGGAUAGGUGACCUCCUACGAAGUCCUCGUGUUGCACCUC